AAAACACAUAGGCUAUUAAUGGAGGCAGCGGACAAAACGGUCUAAUUUAUCUGCGGUUUAGUCCAUUUCAUUUUUGGGAUGGAUAAUAAACCGUUGCGGAGCAAGUUUAUUUGUAUGUAAAAAUAGUUCGCAGAUGGUCCGCUGCGGGUUUUUUCUUU
rnacentral:sRNA from 1 species